AUGUUGAGGAGAGCCCCACGCACCCACUUCCCGGUUGUGAAGGACUUUGAUGACGCCAUCAAACAUUUGGUUGAUCUUUUGCGUACAAGCAACGACCGUUCUACAGAAGGCAAACUCGAAGUAUUCGUCUGUUAUGGCUGGUUUGAGGGCGUGGGAGCAUCUGCUGUCCUUAGAGCUACAUCCAAACUCCUAAACUCUACAACAUGUGAUGAUUUCAACACGAGAAAGCAUUUUGACAGAGUCGUCUACGUGGACUGCUCAAAUUGUAUAAACAGAAGGGCCAUGCAGAGGGCAAUCGCAAAGGAGUUGAACCUUCACCAUGCAAUGCCCAUAUUUGAUAAGCAAGAUGAAGAUGAUGAUUUCAGAGGGGUACACAACAGCAAUAGAAAAGAGGUGCCGGGGUUCGGAAGUUUGAUUACUAAGUCACUAAGAGAUGAAAGAUUUUUGAUGAUUUUUGAUUACAAUACAGCAAGAUGCCAAAAGAAGCUCGUAGCAUUACCAUUACACCACCCAUCUUCUGCUCUGUCUCUCUCUCUUGCAGUUGCAGUGCAUUCCGUUGCAGAGCUCUUAACACAAAAUGACAGAGUGAAAUUUUGUUUUGUUUCAAGCAAGAUGAUGGAGUGA
rnacentral:rRNA from 1 species